AACGAACGCUGGCGGCAGGCUUAACACAUGCAAGUCGAGCGCCCCGCAAGGGGAGCGGCAGACGGGUGAGUAACGCGUGGGAACGUACCCUUUGCUACGGAAUAGCUCCGGGAAACUGGAAUUAAUACCGUAUGUGCCCUACGGGGGAAAGAUUUAUCGGCAAAGGGUCGGCCCGCGUUGGAUUAGCUAGUUGGCGGGGUAAUGGCCUACCAAGGCGACGAUCCAUAGCUGGUCUGAGAGGAUGAUCAGCCACAUUGGGACUGAGACACGGCCCAAACUCCUACGGGAGGCAGCAGUGGGGAAUAUUGGACAAUGGGCGCAAGCCUGAUCCAGCCAUGCCGCGUGAGUGAUGAAGGCCUUAGGGUUGUAAAGCUCUUUCACCGGAGAAGAUAAUGACGGUAUCCGGAGAAGAAGCCCCGGCUAACUUCGUGCCAGCCGCCGCCGUAAUAC
rnacentral:rRNA from 1 species